AGCAGGAUGAACAGCAUCAACACCACCCCCCCCCCCCACAGUGGCGAUCAUCCGGAUCCUUGCAGGCCUCCCACUUCACUUCCUAAAGUUCAGUCAGUAUGAAGAUCUUGAACACCAGCCUUGUUUACCUAAUGGAAGCCGUAUUGGAUUUGGGCCUGGCCGUUUUGUGACUGUAUAGCUCAGAAUGCCUACGUGACUCUUGGCUGCAUGGCCACAGAUGUUCAACCUUGAAAGGACUGUCAUAAAGCCUUGAGAUUGUUGGACAAAAGACUCUCCCAUGAAUUUACGGCACAAGAAGAUAACAACCACGGGAUGCUUCAGCCCGAGCAAAUACCAGAUGUCUCCUGAGCAAACACGAGGUGUCUCCACUGCAUGACCUCUUCACCUCCUGCUAUCAGAGUACCCUCGUCCCUCCUUCCUUUGUGUUUCACAAAGGUCACUCCUCCUACCUGAAAGCCUUAAAAGCUGUAACACUCACCCCAAUAAACGAGAUCUUGGCAACA